rnacentral:rRNA from 1 species
CCUACGGGUGGCAUCAGUGGGGAAUAUUGGACAAUGGGGGCAACCCUGAUCCAGCCAUGCCGCGUGUGUGAAGAAGGCCCUCGGGUUGUAAAGCACUUUCAGUGAGGAAGAACGCCUGGUGGUUAAUACCCAUCAGGAAAGACAUCACUCACAGAAGAAGCACCGGCUAACUCCGUGCCAGCAGCCGCGGUAAUACGGAGGGUGCGAGCGUUAAUCGGAAUUACUGGGCGUAAAGCGCGCGUAGGUGGCUUGAUAAGCCGGUUGUGAAAGCCCCGGGCUCAACCUGGGAACGGCAUCCGGAACUGUCAAGCUAGAGUGCAGGAGAGGAAGGUAGAAUUCCCGGUGUAGCGGUGAAAUGCGUAGAGAUCGGGAGGAAUACCAGUGGCGAAGGCGGCCUUCUGGACUGACACUGACACUGAGGUGCGAAAGCGUGGGUAGCAAACAGGAUUAGAUACCCCAGUAGUC